GUUAGUCAUUUUACAGUGUCAGCACCAGCCUGUGGAUCUGUCUGACAGCGGAUGUAUUGUCACAGUGCAGUCUGAGAUCCAGCCUUCAGCUUUUGUAAGAAUCCAGUUAGCCACUGCACAAAACAUCUUGUUAAAAUCGCAAUUCUAAGGCCUCUUCUUGGCUUUAUUGUUUCUUCCUGUUCUUUAAAUUUGUAAAUGAUUUUUACCUUUAUGAGCAUAGAAGGCAUUAAAAUUCGACUAUACCGGAACAAAAAUUUAUAAUUCCAGCAUGAAUGCAACGAUCAAAACGUUAAUCCAGGACGUGCACAGAUAGACUGGACCAGCGCUGGGCGACAGUGCUCAAGCUUUCUGCUGCAAUGGAGUGGAGUGCACUGACGCUCUGCACAAAUAUCUGCACAGGGCAGCGUUAUAGAUAACCACUCACUGCUCCCUGAGGGGCUUGAGAUCAUUCGAUGUCUAAGAACUACUACUGGCUUGUAAAUGUCAAGAGAAAUUAUGAACAUUUGUAGAAAAGUAACUGUUUGACUAAUUUCCUGUUCCAUGGAGCAAACAUACUGCCCCAUGUAUUUAGAAUCUGGUGCUGACAGCCAGGCCAUGGCAAGCUUCAAGGUUAUAGGAUCAUAAAUGGGAUUAGAUAAGCCAGACAGUGCGGCUCAGACUCCAGCACUUUAAAAAUAUUAUUAAAACCCCAGGAAAGGCAAACAAUUUUGAAGGGAAAGUAAGAUAUAACAGACUCCCACCAAGAGAGAAAAGAAUCUUGGAUAUGAUACUGGAACUUGGUAACCCCUUCCCCCACCCACCCCCCGCUGCCCCCCCAGAGCACUUCCAGAGUGCAUGUUAGUUAGAAUCAAUCAACAUUUUAGGACAUAAGACAUAAUGCAACAAGUCAUGCUUUGUAGCUCAGACAGAUUUUUCUAUUUGAUUUGAUCCAUGACGAAAAAAAAAUUUUAAGGAAAGAACAAAGAAAACUUACUGAGAAGACCAAAAUCAACAGUAAGAAGUCGCAGUUCCAGAGAGCAGAAUGCAGUGUCCC
rnacentral:lncRNA from 1 species